rnacentral:rRNA from 1 species
AUUGAAUGCUGGUGGCAUGCUUUACACAUGCAAGUCGAACGGCAGCGGGGAGGAGCUUGCUUCUCUGCCGGCGAGUGGCGAACGGGUGAGUAAUACAUCGGAACGUGUCGAGAAGAGGGGGAUAACCACCCGAAAGGGUGGCUAAUACCGCAUAAAUUCUGAGGAAGAAAGCUGGGGACCUGGGAAUAGGCCUAGCGCUUUUUGAGCGGCCGAUGUCGGAUUAGCUAGUUGGUGAGGUAAAGGCUCACCAAGGCGAAGAUCUGUAGCGGGUCUGAGAGGAUGAUCCGCCACACUGGGACUGAGACACGGCCCAGACUCCUACGGGAGGCAGCAGUGGGGAAUUUUGGACAAUGGGGGCAACCCUGAUCCAGCCAUGCCGCGUGUAUGAAGAAGGCCUUAGGGUUGUAAAGUACUUUUGUUAGGGAAGAAAAGUCAGCUGUGAAUAAGGGCAGAUACUGACGGUACCUAAAGAAUAAGCACCGGCUAACUACGUG